GCCGAAGUGGCGGAACUGGCAGACGCGCGGGAUUCAAAAUCCCGUGGCCGCAAGGUCGUGAGGGUUCGAGUCCCUCCUUCGGCA
rnacentral:tRNA from 1 species